rnacentral:rRNA from 1 species
CCUACGGGAGGCUGCAGUGAGGAAUAUUGGUCAAUGGACGCAAGUCUGAACCAGCCAUGCCGCGUGCAGGAAGACGGCUCUAUGAGUUGUAAACUGCUUUUGUACGGGGGUAAACGCAGAUACGCGUAUCUGUCUGAAAGUAUCGUACGAAUCAGGAUCGGCUAAAUCCGUUCCAGCCGCCGCGGUAAUACAGAGGAUACGAGCGUUGUCCGGAUUUAUUGGGUUUAACGGGUGCGUAGGCGGGCCGUUAAGUCAGCGGUAAAAUUGCGGGGCUCAACCCAGUCGAGCCGUUGAAACUGGCAGACUUGAGUUGGCGAGAAGUACGCGGAAUGCGCGGUGUAGCGGUGAAAUGCAUAGAUAUCGCGCAGAACUCCGAUGGCGAAGGCAGCGUACCGGCGCCAGACUGACGCUGAGGCACGAAAGCGUGGGGAGCGAACAGGAUUAGAUACCCCAGUAGUC